UUUUUUUAAAGUGUCAAAAUUAUUUAAUAAAGUCUCAUUACAAAUGUGCUUAAAAUAGCACUAGAAUAGACACUCACAUAAACACACACACACACAUCAACUAAUACUUUAGAUAAAAACAACUUAAAAAUAUUAUGAUCACCAUUUUCUUGCCCCCAAAUAACUAUGUAAAAGUAAAGUUCCCCUUUUAGACCUUGCUGUCUAGAGUAUAUAUUGCAUAAAGGUCAUCUAUUUCUGUGGCCUACGGUUAACAAGGGUGUCAUGUGGUCAGCACAACAAUCAACCACCUUUACUUUUCCCCAACUAAUGUCAUUAGAGAUGGGUGGACUCAGAGGCGCCCAGAGGAUUCCGAAAUUAAAAAUCCCAGUCUUCAACAGGAUUCUAACCCGUGACCACCGGUUCGGAAGCCAAGCGCCUUACCGCUCAGCCUCGGCGCCGCCACAUAACUAUACAACAUGUACACAUUUUAUCAUUCAUUACCAAACAUUCGAGAUACUCAGUAGAUACUAUAAUACAUUCAAAACUUCAAUCUACAUUGAAGAAUUGAAUAAAAUCUUAAACAAUGAAAAAAAAAAUACAUCUUGUAAAAAAAUGUACUUAGACGCAUUAUGUCAUAAGUAUUUUAUUUCAAUUUGAUUCAUACUGUUAACCUUUAAAAGACUUUGGAGCAUGGGCGUAGCCAGGGGGGUUCUUGGGGUUCAACCCCCCCCCACCGAAGUGAAAUCCCCCCCCCCCCCCCG